rnacentral:misc_RNA from 1 species
GAAACGCGAAAUGUAAUGUGAAUUGCAGAACCCCAGUGAAUCAUCGAAUCUUUGAACGCACCUUGCGCUCUGUGGUAGUCCGCAGAGCAUGCCUGUUUGAGUGUCGCGCCCCCCUCUCAAGCCCCGGCUUUGAUUAGCUCGGGGCCUUGGAUCGUGGCCUCUGUCGACUGCGCCCUCCGGGGACAGGGUCGAAGGCCGAAAGUGUGGAGCGCCCACGGCGCGCGGCUUGACCGGACCGAUUGUACGCACACUUCGGCGCCGGGACGCGCGACGCGGACGCUGCGAACGUCAACGAAACGAGUUUGACCUCAAAUCAGGCAGGACGACCCGCUGAACUUAA